rnacentral:rRNA from 1 species
AGCAGCCGCGGUAAUUCCAGCUCCAAUAGCGUAUAUUAAAGUUGUUGCAGUUAAAAAGCUCGUAGUUGAAUUUCGAGAUCAAAUUGUUGGUCGUGCCUCGGUACGUACUGGUAAUUUUGGUUUCUCCCUUCUGAAGAACCAUGAUGUCAUUAAUUUGGUGUCUUGGGGAAUCAGGACUGUUACUUUGAAAAAAUUAGAGUGUUUAAAGCAGGCUCGCGCUUGAAUACAUUAGCAUGGAAUAAUGAAAUAGGACGUUUGAUUCUAUUUUGUUGGUUUCUAGGAUCGACGUAAUGAUUAAUAGGGAUAGUUGGGGGCAUUAGUAUUCAAUUGUCAGAGGUGAAAUUCUUGGAUUUAUUGAAGACUAACUACUGCGAAAGCAUUUGCCAAGGAUGUUUUCAUUAAUCAAGAACGAAAGUUAGGGAUCGAAGACGAUCAGAUACCGUCGUAGUCUUAACCAUAAACUAUGACCGACUAGGGAUCGGAUGAUGUUAUUUUUAAUGUACUUCAUUCGGCGCCUUAC